AGGGAAAUUGCUUGGAUGGUGGUGAUAGUGUAUGACAGAUAAUAAUCAAAUGAAAUUCAAAAGAAUUAAAAAGAAGAGAAUCUGAAAUAUCUCCUGGAAAACAUAAUUGACCUGGAAAGUAGAUCCAGAAGAGAUCAUUUAAGAAUCAGUGGAUUGCCAGAAAGCCAAGAUUUUUAAAAUGAGCCUGGACACCAUAUUGCAAGAAAUCGUUUGGGAUAAUUACCCUUGAUUAUGUCCUUGAACAAGAGGGGAAAAUAGAAACCGAAAAAAUUCACAGGUUACCUCCUGAAAGAGAUCCCAAAUUAAAAACUCACAGGAAUAGUAUAGCCAAAUUCCAGGACUUCCAGACCAAGGUAGUGACAGUAUAGGUUUUUGUUAACUGAGGUCCUACAGGAGGUUUAGUGAUGUUUGAAACCCUGUAGUAAAAUGGGGCUUUUGUCAUACCCCUCCAAACUGUACAGUCUUUUCAGACCCAUCAUUUCUUGGUUAUACUCUUUCUCAGAAUUCCAGUCACUGCAUCUAUAGCAUAAAUCAAAAAACUUACACCUAUAAUAUUUUGCUAAGAAUGCACAAGAGGAAUAAAAAAAAUAAAUAAUACUAGGUGUACUUUUUUUUCCCAUCAGGUUAAAAAGUGGGGAGAGGAGAGUGACCUCAAGAUAAGUGAUAAUGAAGUGUGGAUCUCACUUAUUGGAAGACCAGUGGUAGACUAGAGGGAGAGAAUAUGGCAUCCAUUUUCAGAAUCCCCCAGAGUGUGGAUUUAUUUUGCUUGGUUAUACUUAUUUGCUACAAGAAGGUGCAAUAUAUGACCAGAAGGAGGUCACACACUCACACAUUGGGGAACUUGAGAGAGAGGAUGAGAGAACUGAAGAAAUGGAGAGAGGAAAGAGAUUGAUCCUCCCCUCUCUUCCCCUUGGAUCCUUUCCCCUGUUUUCCCAUGAGUCCUGAUGAAAGGAACCUGGAUUUACAGUCAGAGGAACAAGCAAAUGAAAAGGUCAUUGCCAACUCAAAGUCUUCAAAGAGUGCAGUAUCGAAUGAUUCACAAUCACACAUCAGAAAAAAAAAAUUGUACUGCUCUGGCAAGUUCUACCAUGAUGAGAAGGUUUAAAAUUCAGUUCCAGCAAUAAACAAUAUCUGCUUUCCAGGGAUUACUCUUGCUAAGUACCCAGAAGCUCAACAAAUUGGUGAUUCAUUCUUUGGCCAUGGCAGCCCAUGAAACUUUCCUUAUUCAGGAAAGUAUAAAUAUAUUUAUUCAAAGCAAUAUUUCAUUUAAUCUUUCAAUAUACUGAAUACACAGAAGUUCUAAUUUAUUAUUAUUUUUUAAUUACGAAGCAUAACUUACUUUUAAACGCCCAAUGCUAAUCAUUCUUCUCAAUGUUCGUUUGUAUAAGUCCUUUUUCAUGCUUUGAUCACAGGUACUUUCACAUGAAAGUAUUGACUGAGCUUAACUCCCUGGUUUAAUAUUCAAACAUGGGUAUGAAAUGCAAGUAAAGUUAUUUUUUAAUUAAUUGUUACUAUUAGCUUCUAUUAAAGGAACAGCCGGUUAAAUAAACUAAUAAAUUAUAGCA
ensembl:lncRNA